UUCAUGUCAUUCAAGUCUUGAAAAAAAAAUUAUUAGUUUGUUUUGUUUUUAUUUAAAAUCUCUCAGCAUUAAAUUCAUACGAAAUAUACAAAUUUUCUUUGACGAACAAAACAUCUCAUUGUGGCUACCGAAAACCCCGAAAAUCUAGUGGGGAUGCUCUACUUUGUGUUUAACUUCGCAAUAGGUUUCUUGUGCGGUUAUUAUUAUUGCAAGAACUGCAAAUGAAGGGAAGUAUGUAUCGAACGAGCCGUACGUAAACUAGAGCAAAUUAUGCAAGGAAGAGGCUGUGCUUUUCUCUUCGGCUUGGCAGUUGGAUAUUUUGUAUUACCCAAAAUAAAAGACCAGUGAUGAUUUUGCUAUAAAAAAUCAAAAACAAAAGCAAAUGUCUUGAACCAAAGGUCAAUAAUUUCAAAUAAAGAAAAAUAAAAUAAAGUAAAAUAGUUUGAAUAACUUCAAACUCAAAGAUUUGCGCAUUUUUUCUGUAUAAAUUUCAUAUUCAGUACGAAGAAUGUAACUCAGCUAAACUUGACAAUUUUUGUGGUUAUAUUUCAUGACUUGACUGAGAAAUAUAGGCCUUGACUUUUAUGCAAUCAAAUGGAUUAAUAGUUUUUGUUUUUUAUUUCUUUUGUAAACAAAAUUGUAACAUUUGUUAUAGUAAAUUGUGCCAUUUUAUUUUGGACUUUUAAAGAACCAUCAGUGGAGUUUCCCGUUUGCGCACUUCUAAAAACAAGUGUUGAUUGGCUGAUAAGAUUUGUGGAAUGACAGAUCCUGUGAUAGUUUUUUGUGCGGGUACCUUUAUCGGAGUCUUGUUAAUCAAUAUUCUACAAUCAAAUCGCUUACACACGAACGGCAUGAUCACGGAUCGACUAAUAAUAUUUAUUUUUGGUGUUGUUGUUGGUUACUUUGUGGUACCACGAUUGUAAUGAAUGGACUGAAAUGUGUGCAAGCAAAUAAUAAAUAAAAUAAUAAAAAUGCAUUAAGUCUAUACAUAUAAAUAGUACAUAA